rnacentral:rRNA from 1 species
GGCGGCUCGAGUGGUGGCCACUAUUACUGGGCUUAAAGCGUUCGUAGCUGGUCUGUUAAGUCUCUGGGGAAAUCUUCCGGCUCAACCGGAAGGCGUCUCAGGGAUACUGGCAGACUAGGGACCGGAGAGGUGAGGGGUACUCCAGGGGUAGGAGUGAAAUCCUGUAAUCCUUGGGGGACCACCUGUGGCGAAGGCGCCUCACCAGAACGGCUCCGACAGUGAGGAACGAAAGCUGGGGGAGGCAAACC